rnacentral:ncRNA from 1 species
AGAGUGCGACAGGAAAGGAGCAGCGAAUCCAUCCUGACCCCAAGUCCUGCGGCGUGGACAGGAGCAGCGACGGGCAGGGUAUAGAGCUUCGAAAACUACAAACUGAGAUCGCCGACCCUGUCGUCUGUAGGGGAAGGCAACACGACAGACGACAAAAAACGAUCGUCUGUCCUACGUUGCAUAAUUCAC